rnacentral:rRNA from 1 species
UGGGGAAUAUUGCACAAUGGGCGGAAGCCUGAUGCAGCAACGCCGCGUGCGGGAUGACGGCCUUUGGGUUGUAAACCGCUUUCAGCAGGGACGAAGCGUGAGUGACGGUACCUGCAGAAGAAGCACUGGCUAACUACGUGCCAGCAGCCGCGGUGAUACGUAGGGUGCGAGCGUUGUCCGGAUUUAUUGGGCGUAAAGAGCUUGUAGGCGGUUGGUUGCGUCGAAAGUGCAAACUCAGGGCUUAACUCUGAGCCUGCUUUCGAUACGGGCUGACUGGAGGAAGGUAGGGGAGAAUGGAAUUCCCGGUGGAGCGGUGGAAUGCGCAGAUAUCGGGAUGAACACCAGUGGCGAAGGCGGUUCUCUGGACCUUUCCUGACGCUGAGAAGCGAAAGCGUGGGGAGCAAACAG